UAUUCACUUCGUUUCUUACAAAUCUCUUGCAACUCUAUUUCUUCUUUGAACAUGUUGUAGAUUGUAUAUGGUCUCUCUCAGUUUGUGGUGCCUGUUCUGUUGAACCACCUCUUGCAGCCAAUGCAAAGGGGUGAUCCUGCCUGGAUUGGUUAUGCCUACGCCUUCUUAAUUUUCGUUGGGGUGUCAAUCGGUGUGCUCUGCGAAGCACAGUUUUUUCAGAAUGUUUGGUGAGUUGGUUUUCGGCUGAGAUCAACUUUGGUGGCUGCCAUAUUUCACAAAUCUUUAAGACUAACUCAUGAAAGUCGCAAGAAUUUCCCUUCUGGCAAAAUUACUAACAUGAUCACAACAGAUGCGACUGCACUUCAGCAAAUGUGCCAACAACUUCACGGGUUAUGGUCAGCUCCAUUCCGUAUCACAAUGGCUAUGGUUCUUCUUUACCAGCAACUGGGUGCUGCUUCACUCCUUGGAUCACUGAUGCUAGUGCUCAUGGUCCCAGUACAGACAAUCGUCAUUAGCAAAAUGCGAAAACUGACUAGGAAGGACUGCAACGGACUGACA